UACGGGGGGGGGCAAGCGUUGUUCGGAAUUACUGGGCGUAAAGGGCUCGUAGGCGGCCAACUAAGUCGGAUGUGAAAUCCCCAGGCUUAACCUGGGAACUGCAUCCGAUACUGGAUGGCUUGAAUCCGGGAGAGGGAUGCAGAAUUCCAGGUGUAGCGGUGAAAUGCGUAGAUAUCUGGAGGAAUACCGGUGGCGAAGGCGGCAUCCUGGACCGGCAUUGACGCUGACUGAGCGAAAGCUAGGGGAGCAAACGGG
rnacentral:rRNA from 1 species